rnacentral:rRNA from 1 species
AUUGAACGCUGCGGCAGGCUUAACACAUGCAAGUCGAGCGAGCGGCGGACGGGCGAGUAAUGCUUAGGAAUCUGCCUAUUAGUGGGGGACAACAUCCCGAAAGGGAUGCUAAUACCGCAUACUAAUAGAUGAGCCUAAGUCGGUUUAGCUAGUUGGUGGGGUAAAGGCCUACCUAGGCGACGAUCUGUACCUGGUCUGUGGGGAUGAUCCGCCACAAUGGGACUGAGACACGGCCCUGAAUCCUACGGGAAGGCGCAGUGGGGGAAAUUGGACGAUGGGGGGAACGCUGUGCCAGGCAUGCCGGGGGUGUGAACAAGGCCUUAAGGUUGGAAAACACUUUAAGCGAGGAAGCGUUACUCGCAGAAUAAGCACCGGCUAACUCCGUGCCAGCAGCCGCGGUAAUAC